AGUAAGAUGGCUGAAAAAUAAGCGGAAGACUGUAAAUCUUCUUAUGGACCCUGUUCUCUUACUA
rnacentral:tRNA from 1 species